rnacentral:rRNA from 1 species
UUCGGACUGCAGUCUGCAACUCGACUGCACGAAGCUGGAAUCGCUAGUAAUCGCGGAUCAGCACGCCGCGGUGAAUACGUUCCCGGGCCUUGUACACACCGCCCGUCACACCAUGGAAGUCUGCAAUGCCCGAAGCCGGUGGCCUAACCACUUAUGUGGAAGGAGCCGUCUAAGGCAGGGCAGAUGACUGGGGUGAAGUCGUAACAAGGUACC